rnacentral:rRNA from 1 species
UACGAGGGAUGCAAGCGUAUUCCGGAAUUAUUGGGCGUAAAGCGUUUGUAGGCGGGCGAGUGUGUUUAAUGUUAAAUCUUAAAGCUCAACUUUGAAAUUGCGUUAAAAACUGCUUGUCUUGAGUAUGGUAGGGGUAAAGGGAAUUCCCAGUGUAGCGGUGAAAUGCGUAGAUAUUGGGAAGAACACUAAACAGCGAAGGCACUUUACUAGGCUAAUACUGACGCUGAGAAACGAAAGGUAAGGUAGCGAAACGGAUUAGAUACCCGUGUAGUCUUACCCGUAAACUAUGGACACUAAACGGUAAAUUUUUAAUUUACUGUUAAAGCUAACGCGUUAAGUGUCCCGCCUGGGGAGUAUGCUUGCAAAAGUGAAACUCAAAGGAAUUGACGGGGGCCCGCACAAGCGGUGGAGCAUGUGGUUUAAUUCGACGGUACACGAAGAACCUUACCAGGAUUUGACAUGCUAGAUAGUUGCUUGAAAGAGUAACGUGCCGUAAGGAAUCUAGACACAGGUGGUGCAUGGCUGUCGUCAGUUCGUGUUGUGAAAUGUUGGGUUAAGUCCCGCAACGAACGCAACCCUUGUCUUUAGUUAUUUUCUAAAGAGACUGCCUGUAAUAAACAGGAGGAAGGUAAGGAUGAGGUCAAGUCAUCAUGCCCCUUAUGUCCUGGGCUACACACGUGCUACAAUGGGAAAGACAAUGAGCUGCAAAUCUGUAAAUUUAAGCAAAUCUCUUAAACUUUCUCGUAGUUCGGAUUGUGGGCUGCAACUCGCCCACAUGAAGUUGGAAUCGCUAGUAAUCGCCAGUCAGCUAUAUGGCGGUGAAUCCGUUCCCGGGCCU